UCAAGGUGCAAACAUGAUGAUACCUUAUGCUCUUCUUCUGCUGUUGUUCAUAAAAAGUGACACAUUGGCACAGUCAAUAACACCACAGGAAAACAAGACACUUGCAACUGUGGGGCAAAAAGUCACCCUGUCCUGCAAAUAUGAAGGAAGUAUAACUAACCUGCACUGGUAUCGCCAAUAUCCCAGAUCCAAACCAGAGUUCCUGGCUUGGAUUUACCCACAAGGUACUACAAGUGACCCACUUCCUCCCCGAAUUAUACCAAGAGUGGACAAAAAUCUUGUGAGUCUGGAGAUCUCUGAUGCUGAAGUAACAGAUUCUGCUCUGUACUACUGCGCCCUGACGCCCACAAUGACAGGAAACUCAACUACAGUGUGCCAGUAUCGGAGAUACUAUUACACCAGACAAAACAGAGAUAUUUGCUGCUGA